UACGUAGGUGGCGAGCGUUAUCCGGAUUUAUUGGGUUUAAAGGGUGCGUAGGCGGCACUUUAAGUCAGUGGUGAAAGCCUGUUGCUCAACAAUAGAACAGCCAUUGAAACUGGAGAGCUAGAGUAUGGUAGAGGUAGGCGGAAUUGACAGUGUAGCGGUGAAAUGCAUAGAUAUUGUCAGGAACUCCGAUAGCGUAGGCAGCUUACUAUACCAUUACAGACGCUGAGGCACGAAAGUGCGGGGAUCAAACAGG
rnacentral:rRNA from 1 species